rnacentral:rRNA from 1 species
UCGAGGAUCAUUCGCAAUGGGCGAAAGCCUGACGACGCGACGCCGUGUGAGCGAUGAAGGCCUUCGGGUUGUAAAGCUCUUUCGCUUGGGAACAAGAGAUUGUGGUGAAUAGCCAUGAGAUUUGAGGGUACCAGGUAAAGAAGCACCGGCUAACUCCGUGCCAGCAGCUGCGGUAAUACGGAGGGUGCAAGCAUUAAUCCGAUUUAUUGGGCGUAAAGGGCGCGUAGGCGGGUUAGUAAGUCGAGUGUGAAAGUCCAAAGCUCAACUUUGGAACGGCACUUGAAACUACUAGUCUGGAGGGUUGGCGGAGAAAAUGGAAUUCCACGUGUAGCGGUGAAAUGCGUAGAUAUGUGGAAGAACACCAGUGGCGAAAGCGGUUUUCUAGCUUAUACCUGACGCUGAGGCGCGAGAGCAAGGGGAGCAAACAGG